UAGCUAGUUGGUGAGGUAACGGCUCACCAAGGCAACGAUUGCGUAGCCGACUGGAGAAGGGUGAUCGGCCACACUUGGACUGAGAACACGGUCCAGACUCCUACGCGAGGCAAGCAGUAGGGAAUCUUCCGCAAUGGACGGAAGUUCUGACCGGAGCAACGCCGCGGUGAGGUGAUGAAGGUUUUCGGAUCGUAAAGCUCUGUUGUUAAGGAAGAACAAGUACCUGUUCGAUUAGGGUGGUACUUUGACGGUACCUAACCAGAAAGCCACGGCUAACUACGUGGCCAGCAGCCGCGGUAAUACGUAGGUGGCAAGCGUUGUCCGGGAAUUAUUGGGCGUAAAGGGCUCGCAGGCGGUUUCUUAAGUCUGAUGUGAAAGCCCCCGGCUCAACCGGGGAGGGUCAUUGGAAACUGGGGAACUUGAGUGCAGAAGAGGAGAGUGGAAUUCCACGUGUAGCGGUGAAAUGCGUAGAGAUGUGGAGGAACACCAGUGGCGAAGGCGACUCUCUGGUCUGUAACUGACGCUGAGGAGCGAAAGCGUGGGGAGCGAACAGGAUUAGAUACCCUGGUAGUCCACGCCGUAAACGAUGAGUGCUAAGUGUUAGGGGGUUUCCGCCCCUUAGUGCUGCAGCUAACGCAUUAAGCACUCCGCCUGGGGAGUACGGUCGCAAGACUGAAACUCAAAGGAAUUGACGGGGGCCCGCACAAGCGGUGGAGCAUGUGGUUUAAUUCGAAGCAACGCGAAGAACCUUACCAGGUCUUGACAUCCUCUGACAAUCCUAGAGAUAGGACGUCCCCUUCGGGGGCAGAGUGACAGGUGGUGCAUGGUUGUCGUCAGCUCGUGUCGUGAGAUGUUGGGUUAAGUCCCGCAACGAGCGCAACCCUGAUCUUAGUUGCCAGCAUUCAGUUGGGCACUCUAAGGUGACUGCCGGUGACAAACCGGAGGAAGGUGGGGAUGACGUCAAAUCAUCAUGCCCCUUAUGACCUGGGCUACACACGUGCUACAAUGGACAGAACAAAGGGCAGCGAAACCGCGAGGUUAAGCCAAUCCCACAAAUCUGUUCUCAGUUCGGAUCGCAGUCUGCAACUCGACUGCGUGAAGCCUGGAAUCGCUCGUCAUCGC
rnacentral:rRNA from 1 species